ACAAUGCAUUCAGUAAGAGUGGAUUUGUAUUCCAUGGGGCCUGAAACUUUUGCAGUGGACAUUAGGAGAGGCUUAGACAAAUGGAGAAUUCUGAGGGUGCACUUCAAAGCCCAGGUGUGGAAUGCCUGCAGGAGGAACACAAAAGUGAGGUUGAGCUUCUUUGGCUGCAGGAGCAAUCUAGCUCCUGCCACAGCUUACCAUGUAAAACCUUCCCCUCCCCCAUCUCUCUGUCUCUGUGUCACUCUGUGUCUCUCUAUGUCUCUCUCUGUGUCUCUCUCUCUCUCUCUCUCUCUCUCCUGAGGAUAAGAAGCUGCAUGCUGGGUUAAGACAAUUCAUUUUUCUCCUCAUUAGUCAGUGGAAAUCUGCUUCAUGGAUCCAUUUC